rnacentral:rRNA from 1 species
UCAGGAUGAACGCUGGCGGCGUGCCUAACACAUGCAAGUCGAGCGAUUCUCUUCGGAGAAGAGCGGCGGACGGGUGAGUAACGCGUGGGUAACCUGCCCUGUACACACGGAUAACAUACCGAAAGGUAUGCUAAUACGAGAUAAUAUACUUUUAUCGCAUGGUAGAAGUAUCAAAGCUCCGGCGGUACAGGAUGGACCCGCGUCUGAUUAGCUAGUUGGUAAGGUAACGGCUUACCAAGGCGACGAUCAGUAGCCGACCUGAGAGGGUGAUCGGCCACAUUGGAACUGAGACACGGUCCAAACUCCUACGGGAGGCAGCAGUGGGGAAUAUUGCACAAUGGGCGAAAGCCUGAUGCAGCAACGCCGCGUGAGCGAUGAAGGCCUUCGGGUCGUAAAGCUCUGUCCUCAAGGAAGAUAAUGACGGUACUUGAGGAGGAAGCCCCGGCUAACUACGUG